UAAUCGCGAUGAGAAAACCCUAGUUAGGGUUCCUCGCCCCCCCACCCCUCUUCGUCGUCGCCCUCGCCCUCGCCGUAAGAGUUUAACCUAGCUCGACAAUCCAAUCCAUGGGGCGGGACGAGGGAGCAGCGAGGGAGGCGGAGGCCGCGGCCAUGGGCGGCUGCGGCAGCGGAGGCCACCGAUUCUUGGAUCGGAGCAAGGUGAGGAUUCUGCUGUGCGACAAUGACCCCAAAAGCUCCCAAGAGGAGCUCCACCUCCUCGCCAAGUGCUCCUACCAAGUAACUUCAGUGAGGUCUGCAAGACAGCUGAUUGACGUGCUUAGGGCUCAGGCAGCAGACAUUGAUAUCAUUCUCGCGGAAGUUGAUCUCCCCGUAGCCAAAGGUUUCAAGAUGCUAAAGUACAUCACUAGAGACAAAGACUUGAGGCGCAUUCCCAUCAUCAUGAUGUCUUCUCAAGAUGAGGUUUCGGUUGUUGUCAAGUGCCUGCGACUUGGAGCAGCUGACUAUCUCGUGAAGCCAUUGCGUACCAACGAGCUGUUGAACCUUUGGACCCACAUGUGGCGAAGAAGACGGACGCUUGGUCUAUCCGAGAAAGAAGUCUUCAACCAUGAUUUUGAGUUGGCACUGUCAGACCCAAGUGAUGCCAACACAAACAGCACAACUCUAUUAUCAGAUGACACGGAUGAUAAGCUGAAGGGAAAUUCAAAUCAGGAAACAGGCGCCUCAAAUCAUCGUGAAUAUGAGUCUAAUGCCGCUGGUGUUGAACCCGCGUGUGUUAGCAGAACGCAACAGACGGCAGAUGCUGCAGUGGGUGGUGAUUGGGCAUUAUUCUCAGGGGGUGUCUUUUCAUUCCCAAGGAAGACCAAUCUGAGGGUUGGCGAGUCUUCUGCAUUUCUGGCUUACGUCAAGUCAACCCCACAAGCCAAAAAUUCCAACUGGACCCAACUGGAUGGAAACGCAGGCCCUUCAGAACCAGCGAAAUGUCAGGACAAUUUACACGUAGGAAGUGAAAACGAGAGAAUUAAAAGCAGAGGGACACAUGAAAGAUGUUCCGAGGAAAAUGAAGCAUUUCAGAUGCCGACAGAGUUUCCUCCGGUUUGCUUCUCUUCUUCUAGCACACAGCCAGAAUCGAGUAGUGAAGGCCAAAACAAUGUCUCUGGCGCUCCGUCGGUCUUCCACUUCCCACUUUAUUAUCCUGGAAUGAUGCCCUCGUCAGUGCACAUGUUUCAAGGAAGCUUAAACAAUGUGCAAGCACACAGCUCCCCAGCGCUGUUGCCUCAGUAUAAUGCUCUUCCUCAUUUGCCAGUAAUGCCAUCAAUUCCUUAUAAUCAUGUUGGCGUGAAUUUGCAAUCGGGCCACAUGCCUGCCACAAAUGUUUGGCCGUCAGUGACGAGCACGUCAGUGCCUGAAGCCAAGUCUGGUCGAACUGAAAGAAGAGCAGCAGCGCUUGUGAAAUUCAGGCAGAAAAGGAAGGAACGUUGCUUCGACAAGAAGAUUAGAUACGUAAAUAGGAAGCAUCUUGCUGAAACAAGGCCCAGAGUGCGGGGUCAAUUUGUGAGGCAUGCGAACAAUGUAGAUAUACAGUUUGGUGGACUUAAUGCCGGUGAUGAUAAUGCCGAGGAGGAUGAAGAUGAGGAGCCAACAUCAAGAGAACUCGAGCUUGUUUCUUCUCCUGAAUAGAACACGAGGAACUGAUGAAUGGAACCUUCCGAAACGUACUCAAGUGCCUCUUUUGCUUUAUGAUGGUUAGUGGAUCUGCAUUUUCUCCGGAGCUCCGGAUAUGUGCAUGUUAUCCAUUGGUCGAGUUAUUGGAGAGAACGCCAUCGAUAAAGUUGGGAAAGGAAAUACCAUAGUGAAAGAGGCAUUUAGGUGGUAUUGUUCAUCGACUUCUUUGCACAAAAAAUUUAUAAUGCAUGCAUCUAUUGUUGAAAUCUUGCAUUGAGCUCCCUCUCCCCCUCUUUUUUAUACUUGAUCUUCCAUAUAUCUGUAUGGAGUUUCAAUUGACGACAAUAUACAAAGAAGGAAAUCGUCACAUCUGUUUCAAUUUAAAACAUGGAUACACCAGACUAUUCAUGUCGUGCUUCACUGCUUUGAAAGUAGAAACAAAGCUGCAUAUGUUCUGCACCAAGGAUUAAAAGAAAACCUAGGUUUCCAUCUAUUUUCCGGCGAGGUAGAUACUAGCCCUCUGGAAGGAGAAAAGAACUGAAACAAGGAUGCUAUGAUCAAAAUUCUUGCACAAUGUAGAUCUUCCCUAAAAUGAUUGAAUCGUCAGAAAGCUCUUCUAGAUGCUCCAAGGCAAAAUGGUCAAUGAUCUUCUUUUUUUCUUGAUGAUGAAAUAGAAAAGCAGAUGGAUCUUCGCAAGGAGGUUCAAGUAAGUCCCCUCGACAUUAAUGCUAUUGUUGCGAGGAGGCGGAAGGACUUCCCAGGGGAAUUCUUUUGCCAUCUUUCUGUAUUUUCAGAUACUUUACGACAAUCUGGACGAGCGAGAUGGUGCUCCUCUACCUGUUUGAACACUCUUACUGGUGCUUAUGCUGCACUAUUGUUCUCAGAUCACUCCAAAGGAGCUCCACAAAUGGAUCGAGAUCAUGCUCGACGCCUACUGUCGCGGCAGUUGAGCGAUCCCGCAAUCCCAUUGUUAUAAAAAGGCUAAAUAUCCUCGAGGAAACAAUUGAAGAGGAGUAUAUGAAGACCAGCAGACAAGACGAAGACUUGGAACUGAAAGACAAAAACCGAUUUCCAACAGUUUGUCGAAUCACUGUAAAAAUUACACCCCAAUCUCAUCAUCAGAGUCAGGAGAGAAAAUGGUUUGGUUGUUAAACAAGGUGCUGAGGUAUUAGUAAGAUAUCGGGAUGUAAGAGAUAUCGAUGAUUGAUGAAAUUUUAUCUGAUAAAUGCAUAGAUGUCCUCGCGUAUUUGUUCUACGCCUGAAUCAUCAUCCACUUCUUGUGUUCCUUGAUGCUACAUACAGGUGGCUGCAGUGCGCGCCAAUCUCAUUAUCAGAAUCAAGAGAAACAGAUGCUUUGGCUCUUAAUAAGAUGGUGAAGUUGAUUUUAUUGAUGAAUUGUACCUUGAGAUCUUGUGAUGAAAAAGUUGAUCACCCUUUUACUGCAUUGAAUGUAAUUUGGUGGAGAAAAAGCAUAUGCAUGCCUCUAAUAGUAUGCUAUGUAUUUUUGUAUCUUUCUGACAGAAUCUGACAAAACUUGAUGGAAUGUAUUUCCAUUUUUCAAAUUUUUUGUAUUUC